GAACCACGGCUUACUGGCUGAAAUAUAAAAACUGCUGAAGGACAUUUUCUAUCACACUUUGGGCAGCUGCACACAAAAUUGAUGGAAAAUUACCUUUCCAAGGCUACAUCUAACAGAUUGAUCAAGAGUUGACCCAUAUCAAACCUUUAUCAACCAAAAUGAUGAUUGGAACAGUUGCUGUCUGGCAGACAUCAAACAUCCUGUCUGUACUUUAUCCUGUUCUACUUUCGCUCUUUGUUGAUAUAUGCAGUACUGACUUCUUUGGGUAGAAAGGUAAAACCAGAUGGGUGCUCAAGAGCCUUCCAGUCAGCCUGGUCUACAACUCAGGUGGCCUCUCUGUACCUCGCACAUCUUGGCAACUCCUGGUCAACCCAUUAGCCUUGACCCUCUUCUGUGAGUCUGCAGGGACACUGCCUCCAGCUCUGGCACUGCCCUAGAGAAAAGAAGUAAGCAGUUCCUUGUAGAAAUGCAGACCAUCUGCAGCUUGAAGGAUCAUUGGGUUCCAGGCUGAAGAGCUGCAGAACCAGAACCUGUCAGAUCUCAGAGGAAGGAGAAGUCCUUAAAACCAGAUGAGGCACUGCAAGAAAUCCUUCACCCAGUGCCAAAGGUUUGAUUUGCUUCAGCUUAGUUGUACUUGGGGUACUUGUAUGUGAGCACCUUUUCCAGGAAAAAAUGAAAUUUGCGAACUCAUAGCU